UUGCUAUCGCCCGCAAUCGCCCGCAUAGUUGGGUUGGCCCGUUCCCCUCCUCCUCGUUUCCCCUUCUCAUUUCACAGACGCAACUAGAACAGAGCGAGGGAGAGACAGUCAUGGCGAUUUGGAGCUCUCCUCGACGCCCGAUUCAGUACAGUGGUGGCCCGGCGUCUGGCUGCCCCGCCCCCUCCGUCUGCCGCGCUUAUUUCCCACCGGGUCUGUUCUUUCUUCCAGAUUUGUUCCGGCAAGAGAGAGACGACAGGAGGUGAUGAAUGCACAGGAGGGGUGGUGUUUACCUGUGUUUUUUUUUUUUUGCUUCUCCAGCCAUGUUUGUGUUCUAGAUCAUGGAUGAAUCGCUCUCUCUGGUGGCGCUUCUCCAGGGAUAAAUUUGGUACUUUCUCAGUGGAGUUGUAAUGUAAUUCUUUUGUGUGUUUUUAGUGGAAUUACAGUGUAUUUUUAGUGGAAUUACCGUGCAUUUUCAGUGGUUUUUACAUUGUAAUUGUUAGUGGAAUUACAGUGGAAUUUACACUGUAAAUCUUAGUGGGUUUACAGUGUAUUUUUAGUUGAUUUUUGCUCUGUAUUUGCAAGUGGCAUUUUUAGUGGAAUUACAGUGUAUUUUUAGUGGAA